rnacentral:rRNA from 1 species
UACGAAGGGGGCUAGCGUUGCUCGGAAUUACUGGGCGUAAAGGGCGCGUAGGCGGACAGUUUAGUCAGAGGUGAAAGCCCAGGGCUCAACCUUGGAAUUGCCUUUGAUACUGGCUGUCUUGAGUUCGGGAGAGGUGAGUGGAAUGCCGAGUGUAGAGGUGAAAUUCGUAGAUAUUCGGCGGAACACCAGUGGCGAAGGCGACUCACUGGCCCGAUACUGACGCUGGGGUGCGAAAGCAUGGGGAGCGAACAGG